CUAAGGAAAACUAUGGAACCUGCACGGUUCACUCAUUCUUUGUUCAGUUUUGAGAGGUCAACUCUCAAUCAUCACGAACGUGUUCCUUGAAAACUGAAUAUCACAACAUGAAAAGUAAUAGAAAGACCAAUACAUUAAUACCGCGUUACCCGCUUGACCGACA
rnacentral:misc_RNA from 1 species